UGGACGAAAGUCUGACCGAGCAACGCCGCGUGAGUGAAGAAGGUUUUCGGAUCGUAAAGCUCUGUUGUAAGUCAAGAACGUGUGAGAGAGUGGAAAGUUCACACAGUGACGGUAGCUUACCAGAAAGGGACGGCUAACUACGUGCCAGCGGCCGCGGUAAUACGUAGGUCCCGAGCGUUGUCCGGAUUUAUUGGGCGUAAAGGGAGCGCAGGCGGUCAGGAAAGUCUGGAGUAAAAGGCUAUGGCUCAACCAUAGUGUGCUCUGGAAACUGUCUGACUUGAGUGCAGAAGGGGAGAGUGGAAUUCCAUGUGUAGCGGUGAAAUGCGUAGAUAUAUGGAGGAACACCAGUGGCGAAAGCGGCUCUCUGGUCUGUCACUGACGCUGAGGCUCGAAAGCGUGGGUAGCGAACAGGAUUAGAUACCCUGGUAGUCCACGCCGUGAACGAUGAGUGCUAGGUGUUAGGCCCUUUCCGGGGCUUAGUGCCGGAGCUAACGCAAUAAGCACUCCGCCUGGGGAGUACGACCGCAAGGUUGAAACUCAAAGGAAUUGACGGGGGCCCGCACAAGCGGUGGAGCAUGUGGUUUAAUUCGAAGCAACGCGAAGAACCUUACUAGGUCUUGACAUCCC
rnacentral:rRNA from 1 species